CUUAUCUGAGAAAGGGGGCUGAAAAUAUCUCUGCCUCUCUCCACGUUCUCUCUCCCUCCCAUCCUCUCCUCCUCCAAUCCGUCGCCGCCGCCCCUCCCGCUCCUCUCUCGCCGCUGCCCGUCCUGCUCCUCCCCCCAGUUUCUUCUUCUUCCUCCCCUCCCUAUUUGUCAUGCCCCAGAAGGAGGAGCACGGGGAAGGGGUGCUAGGACGUGGUCAGAGAGGGAGAACGAGUGAAUAGGGGAUUGACGGAGGAGGAAGAGAGUUCCAGCGGCGCGCUGCAUCUCCCUCCAUCUCGGCUUCUCUUCGUCUCGCGCAGUGGCCGGUGGCCUGCCGGGAUCUGCCCCUCCACCCAACCCCUCUUGGUUUGGGGCAGAAGGAGGUUGUCGACGGUGCCGAGGUAUAUGGACUGAAGGUUACUGUGCAUGCACCUCCAUUCAUAUCAAGCUUGCAGUGUCACAAGAGAUGGAUACAUGAUUUUCUGCUUGUUGUGCGACCCCCAUCUGCCACAUAACAAGGCCUGCUAACGUUUCUUUUCUCCUCUGCGAUGAGGGACGCUGCCAUGGAUUCUCUGUCCGGGUGUCCCAGCAGCAUGUCGGGGAAGAUUUGAUCUGCAAGGCGGAGCACGCUCGAGAGACGGCGAUAUACGGAGCAAGGAGUUUAAGGCACACCUUUGUUCUUAGUAUUGGAUCCUGCGCCCAUUUUGACUUCUCAAGAAUAACUGAAUGUAUGAUUACUUCAUAAGGUUAGUUCAUGGCAUACUGCAUUCCAGAGUGUUCCUCUACUAUAGCAUCUAUAUGAAAACUACAUCCGUACCUUCAUUGUAAAAUAACUUUUUUGAUGAUGAAUAUGAUGCGCUUAGUCAGUUGUGCUUA